CUUGGUCAUUUAGAGGAAGUAAAAGUCGUAACAAGGUUUCCGUAGGUGAACCUGCGGAAGGAUCAUUAUCGAUGGCCGCGCCGUGAGCGCCUCGGCGGGAUCGGCCGGCCACUGACCACACCCUUACUUUACGAGCACCUUUCGUUCUCCUUCGGCGGGGCAACCCGCCGCUGGAACCUCAUCACGAACCUUUUUUGCAUCUAGCAUUACCUGUUCUGAUAAAUUUAAUCGUUACAACUUUCAACAAUGGAUCUCUUGGCUCUGGCAUCGAUGAAGAACGCAGCGAAAUGCGAUAAGUAGUGUGAAUUGCAGAAUUCAGUGAAUCAUCGAAUCUUUGAACGCACAUUGCGCCCCUUGGUAUUCCAUGGGGCAUGCCUGUUCGAGCGUCAUCUACACCCUCAAGCUCUGCUUGGUGUUGGGCGUCUGUCCCGCCUCUGCGCGCGGACUCGCCCCAAAGGCAUUGGCAGCGGUCCACGGCCCCUCUCGCGCAGCACAUUGCGCUUCUCGAGGCGGCCCGGCCCGCGUCCACGAAGCCCACAUUACCGUCUUUGACCUCGGAUCAGGUAGGGAUACCCGCUGAACUUAAGCAUAUCAAUAAGCGGAGGA
rnacentral:rRNA from 1 species